rnacentral:rRNA from 1 species
CUACGGGAGGCUCCAGUGGGGAAUAUUGCACAAUGGACGAAAGUCUGAUGCAGCAACGCCGCGUGGAGGAUGACACAUUUCGGUGCGUAAACUCCUUUUAUAUAAGAAGAUAAUGACGGUAUUAUAUGAAUAAGCACCGGCUAACUCCGUGCCAGCAGCCGCGGUAAUACGGGAGGGUGCAAGCGUUAUUCGGAAUCACUGGGCGUAAAGGGUGCGUAGGCGGUUUGGAAAGUCAGAUGUGAAAGCCUACAGCUUAACUGUAGAACUGCAUUUGAAACUUCCAGACUAGAAUACUGAAGGGGCAGAUGGAAUUAGUGGUGUAGGGGUAAAAUCCGUAGAUAUCACUAGGAAUACCGAAAGCGAAAGCGAUCUGCUGGGAAGUUAUUGACGCUGAGGCACGAAAGCGUGGGGAGCAAACGGGAUUAGAUACCCCCGUAGUC